AAAUUGAAGAGUUUGAUCAUGGCUCAGAUUGAACGCUGGCGGCAGGCCUAACACAUGCAAGUCGAGCGGAAACGAGUUAUCUGAACCUUCGGGGAASGAUARCGGCGUCGAGCGGCGGACGGGUGAGUAAUGCCUAGGAAAUUGCCCUGAUGUGGGGGAUAACCAUUGGAAACGAUGGCUAAUACCGCAUGAUGCCUACGGGCCAAAGAGGGGGACCUUCGGGCCUCUCGCGUCAGGAUAUGCCUAGGUGGGAUUAGCUAGUUGGUGAGGUAAGGGCUCACCAAGGCGACGAUCCCUAGCUGGUCUGAGAGGAUGAUCAGCCAC
rnacentral:rRNA from 1 species